GAAUUCCGAAUGUCUCCCAAUUGCAUAUUUUCUGAACUAUUUGAUUAUGAAAACAUACAACAGAAUUCGGACUCUUCACUUGGCCGUACAAACGCUUCAAAUUUUCCUAACUAUGUGUAAUAGACGCACGUCCGAGAUUUUUUGUUGCACUACCGGCUGCCGGAAUAAUUAGUCGGACGAUUGUCGCCGUAUUAUGUUCGUCAUCUUUUACUCUCUGCAUAAACCCUAAACCCUAAUCCCUGAACCCGUAAUGCCCAUUCACAAACCUCUCAUUUUGAUAUACAGAAUCCUCCACUCCAUCCAACACAAUCAUCCUUCUAGUUUUCGAUUUUCAGCUCUGCAAUUCUCCUCUUUGUCUCCUCAUUCAUGGCUGUCCACGCCAGGAAAGCCCCUCGUAAAGUGGCCUUCAUUGCCCGACCAGCCUGCCAAUCCGUUGCCAUCAAAUUCUGCGGUGAUUUCAAACCCUAACUCUGCCAUUGACGUGAAAUUCGAAGCAAGUUAUUCGCCGAAUGACUUGUCUACCAUUUCUAGCAUCCUUUCCGAUCGCAGUGUUCGGCCCGGUGCCGCGCUCGAGGAUGCUUUGGACCGGACUGGAAUCGUGCCGAGUUCGAGUUUGUUGGAAGCUGUGUUCGAUCAUUUUGAUUCGUCUCCUAAGUUCUUGCACUCGCUGUUUCUUUGGGCUGCGAAGAAAUCUGGAUUUCGCCCCUCUGCUGCAUUGUUCAACCGUCUGAUCAACGUGCUUGCGAAAUCAAGGGAGUUUGAUUCUGCUUGGUCUUUGAUCACUUCUCGUCUACGUGGAGGUGAAGAGUCCUUUUUGGUUUCGGUGGAGGUCUUCGUGAUAUUGAUCAGGCGGUAUGCUCGUGCAGGCAUGGUUCAACCUGCUAUUCGAACGUAUGAAUUUGCUUGCAACCUAGAAACAAUUUCAGGGACCGGCUCGGAGGGAUUGUUUGAGAUUUUACUGGAUUCACUCUGCAAAGAAGGCCAUGUCAGGGUAGCUUCUGAGUAUUUCAAUAGGAAAAGGGAAAUGGGUUCUAGUUUUGAACCGUCAAUUCGAGCAUACAAUAUACUUAUAAAUGGAUGGUUUCGAUCAAGAAAGCUCAAACAUGCUCAGAGGCUCUGGUUUGAGAUGAAGAAGAACAAAAUAUCUCCCACUGUUGUUACAUAUGGCACCCUAAUAGAAGGGUAUUGUCGAAUGCGUAGUGUCGAAAUUGCCAUUGAAUUGGUGGAUGAGAUGAGGAGGGAAGGUAUUGAGCCAAAUGCAAUCGUAUAUAACCCUAUAGUUGAUGCACUUGGGGAAGCUGGGAGGUUUAAGGAGGCACUGGGAAUGAUGGAGCGGUUCAUGGUUUUGGAGCAAGGUCCGACUAUCUCAACGUACAAUUCUCUUGUCAAGGGGUAUUGCAAAGCAGGAGAUCUUUCUGGGGCUAGCAAGAUCCUUAAGAUGAUGAUUGGUAGAGGAUUCACUCCAACCCCGACCACCUAUAACUAUUUUUUCAGAUUCUUCUCUAAAUACGGUAAAAUUGAGGAGAGUAUGAGCCUUUACAAUAAAAUGAUUGAAUCAGGAUAUGCGCCAGAUAAACUUACAUAUCACUUGUUGCUGAAGAUGUUAUGUGAAGAGGAGAGGUUGAACCUUGCAGUUCAAGUUUGCAAUGAAAUGAAGGCUAGAGGGUUUGACAUGGAUUUAGCUACAAGCACCAUGUUAAUGCAUUUGCUUUGUAAGAUGCAUAAGUUUGAAGAAGCUUUUGCAGAAUUUGAGCACAUGAUUCAUCGAGGAAUUGUUCCUCAAUAUCUUACUUUCUGCAGAUUGCACGAUGAAUUCAUGAAACGUGGAUUGACAAAAAUGGCAUCUAAGCUGCAAGAAAUGAUGUCUUCGGUUCCUCAUUCAGAGAAGUUACCCGAUACCUAUAAUCAAACUCCUGAUUCUAUUCGUGCCAGAAGAACAUCUAUUAUGCGUAAAGCUGAGGCAAUGUCUGAAAUGUUGAAGGUCUGUAAAGACCCUAGAGAGCUUGUCAAACGCAGAAGUCCAUCUGAAGAUGCUGUUUUUAGUGCAAAUAAGUUGAUAGAUGAUAUCAAGAAGAAGGCCAACCCUGGGACUGUUUGAAACCAUCUACUUAAAUUUUGAUUUUGCUGGCAAAUAACUGUGCAUUAGCUAUACAAAAAAUGACUUGCGCUACAUAAUUUUUCCAUUAGAAUCUUUGGAGAAACUCGAAUAUAUGGUCCAGUUUCACAGGCAUGUGCAGAUGUUUGACGAGGGGAUAAACAUACUUUGUUUUGUGGAUUUAGUGUUUUAAGGGGACAUUUGUAUAUUGAAUGAAGAGAUUGCAAGAAUUCAUUUUGGACUUGGGAUUGUAUUAUACAUUUGAAUGUAGAACAGAACGCAAGUCCAUUUGAUUUAACCUCUUCUUCCAAAUUAUUAUUAUUAGGUCUCGUUGAAACACAAUAGAGAGUAGUCGAAGCAAGGACCGAGUCGAAGGUGGCAAUUGACAUUAGCUGUUCAUGAACAUCAAUGUCUUGCGACCAAAACUGCAUUGGCAGGGAGAAAAACAAGGAUGGGAGUGUUGAAUUCAAGCAUGUGACGUAUGUGGAUGUUGCUGAAAAGCAAGGUUUUUCAACAGAAUGAUGAUGAAACGCACAAUUGUUGGCAAGUGCUUUUGCAACCGAACUUCAGUUGAAUUGCAUCAUUGUCCAUUAACAAUGUGACAAGGAGCUUUGUGAAUGCUGAUGAAAUUAUUUGAGAAGGCCACCACAAUGGUGCUGACAACAUUUCGAUGUAGGAAAGAGAAAAUAUAAAAUACAUCGAAUUUGUAUCUGUGGUUAUUAGGAAUCAAGUAACUUUCGGUCUACAUUCAACUCAAUUGUUAAAAAGUCACAUGUUGGCGACUUCAUCGAACAAUUUUCUCCACAGCGGUGUGUUUCAGGUUAAAAACCCAGAUGCAGACAAGACAUUUCUUCCGAGAUGACUAGCUAGUGGAAUCCACUCCAUAUCCUCGUAAGAUCACUUUUUCUUUCAAGUUCUUUGCCACUAGAGCAUCACACACAUCAACUAAUUUGAUUGGGGGAAAAUCACAAUUUAUGUACCUACUUUUUAAAAGGGUUUAGAUUAUUAUUCUAAGUUAGGUCGUAUAGAUAAUUAUCAGCUUUAAUAAUCUUCAUUCGAGCAUGCUUUGCUUUUGAUUAUAUAAUUGCUUUCUUGAACCAUUGUUGUUAUCAUAUUGUUUUAAAUAUCACAUCGCGUUUCUGGAGUGGGAAUUUGAAGCUAA